ACCCAGUCCACGCCCCGCGUCGUCCUCCCCUUCUCCUCUUCCUCGCUCUUGCGACCGAAAUCGCCGCCGCCGUCGCCGUCGCCGCUCAACCCCGGCCGCCUCCGGUGGUUUCUGCCGCCGUCGCCUAGCGCGAACGACGCACCUAGCCGCCCUUUAUCAUCUCCUCCUCUUAGAUUUUCCGGGCGCCUCCUCGUGCGGCUGUGCCCUACCCCGCAUGGGAGCUAGGGUUUGCGCCCCUCGUCGGAGUUGAACUCCGGCGGCCGUCCUGGUGCUCGGGUGGUCAUGGUCGCCGCCCCCUCCCCCGCCCUAACCGCCGCGGACGCGAGGCAGGCCGCGGCGAGGAAGAAGGAGGAGGACGACGAGGAGGUCGUCUGCUUCAUCUGCUUCGACGGUGGAGACCUCGUCGUCUGCGAUUGGAGGUGCGACGCCGCAGUGCGCGACUUCUUCCACGCCUGGAUGGUCAUUGAGCGCGCCCCUCCUGAUUGCAGUCAGUGCCGCCGCCGUCUCCAAGCUGCAGAGUCCCGUUCCUUUCAGCCCGUGCGUUUCCUCAGCGUGAGAUCGAUCGGGAUGUCCCUAAUCUACUGUGUGUACUUUUAACUGAAUUUCCGACAGUGCGUUUGCUCAGCGUGAGAUGGAUCAUCGAGUUGCCACACGUGCUGCCAUCUGAAAAAGCAUUUUAUGCUGCUGUAUCUUCCCUUGGCAUCUACAGCAAAGAUGUUUACGAUGGAAAGGGGCUAUUUAGCGCCGCUUGUGUUUGGUGGAUGUUUCGUGCUUAUGGACAUGACAAAGUCUGGGUUUUGGAUGGAGGUUUGCCCCAGUGGCGUGCUUCUGGGUAUGGCGUGGAAUCAAGUGCCUCCAGCGAUGCUAUCUUAAAAGCUAGUGCUGCUAGUGAAGCAAUCGAGAAGGUUUACCAGGGGCAGUCGCUUGCUGCUUCCAGGACAUGGAUAGAGGAGAUUAUUUUGAAUUAAGUUUGGGCAAAAAAGACCUGGACAGAUCAAAGAAAUACAUCCAGACGUUGCAGGUAUCACCAUAUUCCAUUGCUAUUACUAUAUUUGUAUUAGUACCCCGAUAUUAGUAUGUGGUUCAUUUUCCAGAUUUGAUAUUAGUAGCCUGAGAAAUAAUAUAUUGGAAAAACUUAAAUUUAUUGGAAAAACAUUUGCUGUUGGACAGUUAUGAUUUUUAGUGUCUACGCUGAUGGUUUCAUAUUCAGUUGUUGUGAUGAUGAUAAUUGUUAUGAUUUAUUCCUUUACAAUGAUCUGUAGCUGCUGUAGUGGAUUAUUACAUGAUUCUGGACCAUGAUAUGCUCAGUUUUACACAUGUAAAAUAUAGAUUUCCCAGUGGCAUGUGUAUUGAGAUGCCUUACUUGUUCGUCUAUUGAUUACUUGGUUAUUUGUGACUUCUGCUGCUCUAGUGCUUGCUUUAGAUGAUCUGAUUUUCAAUAAGUGCAUGUUAUAACACUAAAAACAUUAUGAUCAUCAAAGUAGUGUACUCUCUUGCCAAGUAUUUCUCAGUACAGGAGUUCAGUUAGUGAUAUUGCUCUGCUAAUUCACAACUACAUGAAGUACCAUAUAACUUGAGAAAUCCUCAACUCUGAUCCUAGCUGCAACUACUUCACAAAGUUGGGACUGAAACCAACUUUCUGUUAAUUCACAAAGUUGUCUAUUUUCUCUUUCUAUUCUAAUCUUUCUGUUAAAGUGUUAUUGUAUUUACUAUGCACAUCGGGGCCAAGAGGCUGUCUACAAGCCUAGAACUCGAGUGUAACUUGCUUCUUGUCAAGCUUAUUUUCUUUCAGAGUUAAAUUGCGUUAAAUAUUUCUUUUGGCCAUUAAUUUUCUUGUCGAGCUGUCGCGUGUGGAGGAGCAGGCGAGCUGCUGCUGCUGGAGAUCAUGUGCUCCUGCUAGAUCUUCAUUGUUAGGUCGAAACUGAAUGUUGGUGUGGUUGAUUUUGAUUUGAAUUGUAAACGGAAUGUCGUGGUUGAUUUGAAAUCUAAAUUGAAAUGUACUGUUUA